rnacentral:rRNA from 1 species
UACGUAGGGUGCAAGCGUUAAUCGGAAUUACUGGGCGUAAAGCGUGCGCAGGCGGUUUUGUAAGUCAGAUGUGAAAUCCCCGGGCUUAACCUGGGAACUGCGUUUGAAACUACAAGGCUAGAGUGUGGCAGAGGGGGGUGGAAUUCCACGUGUAGCAGUGAAAUGCGUAGAGAUGUGGAGGAACACCGAUGGCGAAGGCAGCCCCCUGGGCUGACACUGACGCUCAUGCACGAAAGCGUGGGGAGCAAACAGG